GACGAACGCUGGCGGCGUGCCUAAUACAUGCAAGUAGAACGCUGAAGGAGGAGCUUGCUUCUCCGGAUGAGUUGCGAACGGGUGAGUAACGCGUAGGUAACCUGCCUGGUAGCGGGGGAUAACUAUUGGAAACGAUAGCUAAUACCGCAUAAGAGUAGAUGUUGCAUGACAUUUGCUUAAAAGGUGCAAUUGCAUCACUACCAGAUGGACCUGCGUUGUAUUAGCUAGUUGGUGAGGUAACGGCUCACCAAGGCGACGAUACAUAGCCGACCUGAGAGGGUGAUCGGCCACACUGGGACUGAGACACGGCCCAGACUCCUACGGGAGGCAGCAGUAGGGAAUCUUCGGCAAUGGACGGAAGUCUGACCGAGCAACGCCGCGUGAGUGAAGAAGGGUGUCGGAUCGUAAAGCUCUGUUGUAAGAGAAGAACGAGUGUGAGAGUGGAAAGUUCACACUGUGACGGUAUCUUACCAGAAAGGGACGGCUAACUACGUG
rnacentral:rRNA from 1 species